CCGGUUCAGUGAUGGCGACGUUCUACACUCGGUGUUUACAGGAGCUGCCAAAGUUAAACAUCACCGAUGUCCAUCGGAUUGGUAGGAUAACUAAAACACCGUCCAGCAAAUUGGAUAAAGGUUUCAAGUUAUAUGCUGCGUCAUAUAUACACAACUAUGAAGAUUGAGUUUGGUGAUUCAUCGCCAGUUGUGGUGACUCGCACUCUUGUGUGGCAGGAACUGUUGUGUGCAGUCAUACAGUGGCGUUGCUGUUUCAAACAGCACAUUGCUCUCAGCUCAGGACACCAGUUGUGCCCCCUGUGCAUAGCUGCACAGAAUCUGAGCAGCAAUGGCACAAGCCACGAACAAUGGGUGUCAGGCCAGGGCCUAUCAAGUCCAUGGUCUUCACUAAGCCAGUACCAAACAGGAUGGUGCAGACUGGAGUGAGAAGUGGAUUCUACAGAGGUAUGGUGGGUCCCUUGCCAGACCCCUGUAUGUUCAGAAUUGAGGAGGUAUAUGCUAAAUUCAGCAUGGAGGACAGGCCACUCGUAACCACAAUGAACAUGGGACCUGACAAGCCCCUUGUGGAAAGUGCCUUUGGGCUGGUGCAGAGGGGCAGUGUUCUUUCUUACCAAAAGCCAGCACUGACAUCCCGGCAUAUCACACUCCACCAUGACGCACCAC